UCAAGUGAAUAAGUGCAUCAGGUGGAUGCCUUGGCGAUGAUAGGCGACGAAGGACGUGUAAGCCUGCGAAAAGCAUCGGGGAGCUGGCAAUAAAGCUAUGAUCCGGUGAUGUCCGAAUGGGGAAACCCACUGCAUUCUGUGCAGUAUCCUAAGUUGAAUACAUAGACUUAGAGAAGCGAACCCGGAGAACUGAACCAUCUAAGUACCCGGAGGAAAAGAAAUCAACCGAGAUUCCGCAAGUAGUGGCGAGCGAACGCGGAGGAGCCUGCACGUGAUAACUGUCGAGAUAGAAGAACAAGCUGGGAAGCUUGGCCAUAGUGGGUGAUAGUCCCGUAUUCGAAAUCUCAAUAGUGGUACUAAGCGUACGAAAAGUAGGGCGGGACACGUGAAAUCCUGUCUGAAUAUGGGGGGACCAUCCUCCAAGGCUAAAUACUCAUCAUCGACCGAUAGUGAACCAGUACCGUGAGGGAAAGGCGAAAAGAACCCCGGGAGGGGAGUGAAAUAGAACCUGAAACCUGAUGCAUACAAACAGUGGGAGCACUCUUAUGGUGUGACUGCGUACCUUUUGUAUAAUGGGUCAACGACUUACAUUCAGUAGCGAGCUUAACCGGAUAGGGGAGGCGUAGGGAAACCGAGUCUUAAUAGGGCGAUGAGUUGCUGGGUGUAGACCCGAAACCGAGUGAUCUAUCCAUGGCCAGGUUGAAGGUGCCGUAACAGGUACUGGAGGACCGAACCCACGCAUGUUGCAAAAUGCGGGGAUGAGCUGUGGAUAGGGGUGAAAGGCUAAACAAACUCGGAGAUAGCUGGUUCUCCCCGAAAACUAUUUAGGUAGUGCCUCGAGCAAGACACUGAUGGGGGUAAAGCACUGUUAUGGCUAGGGGGUUAUUGCAACUUACCAACCCAUGGCAAACUCAGAAUACCAUCAAGUGGUUCCUCGGGAGACAGACAGCGGGUGCUAACGUCCGUUGUCAAGAGGGAAACAACCCAGACCGCCAGCUAAGGUCCCAAAUGAUAGAUUAAGUGGUAAACGAAGUGGGAAGGCCCAGACAGCCAGGAUGUUGGCUUAGAAGCAGCCAUCAUUUAAAGAAAGCGUAAUAGCUCACUGGUCGAGUCGUCCUGCGCGGAAGAUGUAACGGGGCUCAAAUCUAUAACCGAAGCUGCGGAUGCUAGUUUACUAGCAUGGUAGGGGAGCGUUCUGUAGGCCGAUGAAGGUGCAUUGUAAAGUGUGCUGGAGGUAUCAGAAGUGCGAAUGUUGACAUGAGUAGCGAUAAAGCGGGUGAAAAGCCCGCUCGCCGAAAGCCCAAGGUUUCCUACGCAACGUUCAUCGGCGUAGGGUGAGUCGGCCCCUAAGGCGAGGCAGAAAUGCGUAGUCGAUGGGAAACAGGUUAAUAUUCCUGUACUUGAUUCAAAUGCGAUGUGGGGACGGAGAAGGUUAGGUUAGCAAGCUGUUGGAAUAGCUUGUUUAAGCCGGUAGGUGGAAGACUUAGGCAAAUCCGGGUCUUCUUAACACCGAGAAGUGACGACGAGUGUCUACGGACAUGAAGUAACCGAUACCACGCUUCCAGGAAAAGCCACUAAGCUUCAGUUUGAAUUGAACCGUACCGCAAACCGACACAGGUGGGCAGGAUGAGAAUUCUAAGGCGCUUGAGAGAACUCGGGAGAAGGAACUCGGCAAAUUGAUACCGUAACUUCGGGAGAAGGUAUGCCCUCUAAUGUAAAGGACUUGCUCCGGAAGCAUCUGAGGGUCGCAGAGAAUCGGUGGCUGCGACUGUUUAUUAAAAACACAGCACUCUGCUAACACGAAAGUGGACGUAUAGGGUGUGACGCCUGCCCGGUGCUGGAAGGUUAAUUGAAGAUGUGAGAGCAUCGGAUCGAAGCCCCAGUAAACGGCGGCCGUAACUAUAACGGUCCUAAGGUAGCGAAAUUCCUUGUCGGGUAAGUUCCGACCCGCACGAAUGGCGUAACGAUGGCCACACUGUCUCCUCCCGAGACUCAGCGAAGUUG
rnacentral:rRNA from 1 species